GAUUUUGCAUUAGGUUAAUGAUACCAUUGGAACACUAGCUGGAGGCAGAUUCUACAAUCAGGAUGUCAUUACUGCUGUGAUCCUUGGUACAGGGACAAAUGCAGCAUAUGUGGAACGUGCAAAUGCUAUUCCAAAUUGGCAUGACCCUCUCCCGAAAUCAAGAGACAUGGUUAUAAACAUGGAGUGGGGUAAUUUCCGAUCCUCACAUCUUCCUCUAACAGAAUAUGAUGUAGCUCUAGAUGCUGAGAGGUUAAAUCCUGGAGAGCAGAUAUUUGAGAAGUUGAUUUCUGGUAUGUAUUUGGGGGACAUUGUAAGGAGAUCUUUAUUGAAGAAGGGUGAAGAAGCUGACUUUUUUGGAGAUAUAGUUCCCCCCAAGUUGAGAGUUCCUUUCAUACUCAGGUAUGCAUGCUAGUUAAUUAUACUCAAGUAUUACAAGAAGCUGUGCUGCCUCCCUUGCAGUGAGAUUUGCAAAUCAUGGGCACCCCACUAUGGUGGUUUCAACUGACCCUGCUCACUCCUUAAGCGACUCUUUUGCUCAGGAUUUGACAGGUGGUAGGCUUGUUCCGGUUUAAGGAGUGGAGUCACCAUUAUAUGCUCUCAAGGUACUCAUUUUGAUUGAAACAGAAUUGAAUAUUA